UGUUGGGUAAUACGUGAAAAGAGAUCUAAUACUGUGUAUUACACGUUGCAAUUGAAAUAAGAGUAAUGGCACGGUUCGUCUGGUUCACACUUAGUAAGCGGCUGCUGUCGGCAAGACAGUGCGUAUGUUAUAUGGCUUGCUGUGAGAAUGCUUUUUUUUUGUCUAUAUGUAUAAUCGUUGACUGUCUGACACGAGAGUUAUCACAACGGCCUACCGGUGAUCCGGAGCGGCGUCGUCGUCAACUUACGGAAAUGUGGCGCCAAGAUAUUCGUUACAUACAUACAGGCUCUUUUCACGUAGGUAUUUUGAGGAGUACCUAUAAACAACAAAAACAAAAAUCAAACAUAACUAAACGAUGGCUUUUUAUGCAUCAUGUACCAAUGUAAUUGUUGGCAUGUAUCAAAUAAAUUCAAUAAAUUCGGUAUUGAUCGUAGGAUUGUAUCGACACACACGAAUAACACUUGGAAAUGCAAAAACGUACAUACAUAUACGUAUAUCUAUGUAAUAUAACAUCAACUGAAUUUAUUCAAUAAGCCAAUUUGUUACCCAAUAUAUACU
rnacentral:misc_RNA from 1 species